UUCUUGUUUUCGUACGGUUGUCAUGUUUCUUUUGGUUGUAUUUUUUGGGUUUUUUGUUUGUUUGUUUUUUCUUGGUUGUUUUUUAAGGGCUAGACCGGAGCGCGGCAAGGUCCCGGGGACCCUACCUGUCCCCAUGUGCUCCCCCGGCGCUGCCGUCACCUUUGCAAUCUGUCAGGCACGGGAGCCAAAUCUGCCAACCUCUUUCUGCGGCCUCCCUCCCUCCCUCUCCCCUGCUGCUUUUGCCUCGUCCCCCUCAGACCGAGCCAGGCACCAGCACUGCAGGGGAGCAGUGGCCACCGGGACGCCCCCGAGAGUGCAGGAAGCCCCAAGAAAAGGGAGGGAGGGGCCUUGUCCACACAGUAAGUGCCCACAUACUGCCCAGAGGGCAAAGCCCUGGGGGCAGUGGUUGGAUCCCCAGACCAGAAUGAAAUUCAGACCCAGCUAACCCAGUGCAAGGGUCUCUGCUUGUAGCAUCGGGGGUCACUUCCACCCUGGUUUCCAGUGGUUUAUUGCAAGUCAGCUUGGCUCCCAGGACACAUCAGACUCAGCCCUUGCCACGCAGUCAGUGAACUGCUCUCAACAUUUAUCCAAUGGGCUGCCCACAUCAGGGACAUAUCUUUGGAUCUGGACUGUGUAUUUCCUACGCAUCAGGAUACCUUACUUUUUGGAAGGUGAAGAGGAACCACGGCAGCACAGAUGCCCUUCACUGCAGAAAUGGCUUGGACCAUCACAUGCAGCUUUGUUCUGGACUGUAGAGCUGUACCUGGAGAUCUUCUUCAUCUAGAUGGGCUUCUAGCAAAUCCACUGCUCAGAAAGACCUCUGCAAGCACAGAGAGGUCUUGUAAAGAGCUGGCAUGUGGAGGGGCAAGCACAGGUAAUCUGCUUGGUGCAGCUUCACCCGGUCCCUGCCUGCAGGGAACAAAGUGGAGUGGCACCUAGGGACCAGGCAGAUCCAUGCUUUAUCCAGAGUCUCAUGGCCCUUCAUCCCCAGCCCAUCUAGCAGGCUUUUAUUUGGUCUCUGAAGUUAAGGGUCACUAUUUCCGGGAGCUGCAAUUCCAACACAUGCCCACGUGGUUGGUCUGGAAACCACAAAGGCAGGAGGCUGCUUGAUGAUGGCACACAAAGCCAAUCCAAGUAUGGGACCCUCAUCAGGUCGCUCUGGACCUGGGCAGACCAGCUAGCUCCCCACAGUUCUCUACAGACCAGACCAAAACUCAUGGAUUCCUCGAGAAACACAGCUUGCACUCACAUGCAGAUGCUAAUCGCAUACUCAAGAGGCUAUCCCAAAGACAGUAAUUUCCCUAGAUGCUAGCUGUGUGGUCAUGAAUUCACAGGAAUAUAAUUUUUUCAUAUGAAAACAUUUAUUUUUCUUCCAGAUGUCAUGGUAAUUAAGGCGGAAGAAUGCACUCUGUUAAAUGUGUGAGAAAGAUCAUGGUGCCUCACAAGUCUACGGGAGUCCCUGGAGGACCAAGUACCAGAUGGCACAGAUGAGUCUCUGACAGGGGCAUAGGGGUGUAUAAAACAGGCCUCAUCAAAAGUCUUUCAAGAUGCUGUCACAAGAGGGAAGCUGGUCACAAAGAUGGGAAGAGAAUAUGGCAGAGGAAGGUUUCUGGUGCAGCGGGGAGGCUCCAAAGUUAUCCAAACAGUGUUCUACACUAGCAAAUGGAUAAUUUGAUUUUAGAGAAAUAAACCUUUUUUAAGAGGCAGGCUUCUGCCUUUGAAACCUUCUCAGAGAAAAUGUCUUCCCUUAUCAAAAUCUGAAGACAAGUUUAUUUCCCAGCUGAGUUUCCAUCAGUGUUUCUACAUCCUCGUAUCCAGGCUGCUGUCUAGUGUGUCCUCUCAGAUUCAUGCAGCCCAUUGCCAAUCCCAUCUUUUGUGCAUUUUUUAAAUAUAAAUAUCUCUGUAAUGCUUCUUGUAUGCAAUAAGACCAAAGUUUUUAUCAGACCAAUGAAGACAGAAACCCUGAGUCUUUGCAGUGUGUUAAUUGCGUCAUUAUUUUCCCUACACUGUCAGCCCCAAAUCUGACCGAUGACCUAGAAACAGCUUGCUGAAAACACUUCAGGAGAGAUAUGCCAGCGGCCCUGCUCACUUUGCCGUGAUGUGCUCUCUUACUGCACACAGAAGGUAUCUGUGCUCUCAUAGCUCAGAGACUACAGAAGCUUUAGAAGCUUCAGAAACCAGGUCUUUAAGUGGAAUCUGGACCACUGACCUGAUCAGGGAUGGUUCUGAGACCAUAAUGAGAACCUUCUCAGGUUGCUGUCCAGAAUCAGUACAAUCAUUAGUUCUGCCUUGGAUUUAGAAGACUCCCCUGGAAUGUCAGGCAAGGUUAUGUUGAAGUGUCACCUCCAUGUCUCACAGGGAGACAAACCAACAUGUUGCACUUGAAUCAGAUCAUGUUGGUAUCUUACAUAUAAAUACCAUUUAUUGCACCAAUAUCACACAGUGAGGCAAAAUCAUAAUAGAAGACACACAGUGAAAACAAACGUUUUUAAACUUAACCACAUGUUCUGUGAUUCCACAGGACUAAAUCUUCAAAGUAAUAAUAUUAUUUGUAAAACACCUCCCUUAGCAAAUUUUGCUGGACCAUGAAAAUACUGCAAUAAAAAUGUCAUUUGGAAUGUUAUGUAAAAUUGUUCAAGAGAAAAACAAAUAAAGGAGCCUGGGAUGGA